GACGAACGCUGGCGGCGUGCUUAACACAUGCAAGUUGAACGAUGAUGCUGGAGCUUGCUCCAGUUGAUUAGUGGCGAACGGGUGAGUAACACGUGAGCAAUCUGCCCUUGACUCUGGGAUAACUGCGGGAAACUGUAGCUAAUACCGGAUACUUUCACCGGAAGGCAUCUUUUGGUGAUGAAAGAAUUUCGGCCAGGGAUGAGCUCGCGGCCUAUCAGCUUGUUGGUGAGGUAACGGCUCACCAAGGCGACGGCGGGUAACCGGCCUGAGAGGGUGACCGGUCACACUGGGACUGAGACACGGCCCAGACUCCUACGGGAGGCAGCAGUGGGGAAUAUUGCACAAUGGGCGCAAGCCUGAUGCAGCAACGCCGCGUGAGGGAUGAAGGCCUUCGGGUUGUAAACCUCCUUUAGCAGGGAAGAAGCGAAAGUGACGGUACCUGCAGAAAAAGCACCGGCUAACUACGUGCCAGCAGCCGCCGUAA
rnacentral:rRNA from 1 species